CAAGAUUUUCUUUUUUUCUCUUGGUUUUCAGUAGUUUGGGUAAGAUAUCUUUUUUCAGAGCAGUCUUGCUUUAUUUGAUUUGUGUGUGCCUGUGUGGGGAUGGGUGCGUGUGAGUUCAGGUGGUUUUGGAUGCUAAAAGCGGGAACCUUCUGGGGCUGGCGUUACAGGAGGCUUUGAACUGCCUGACACUGGCGCUGAGCUCUGGCCCUCUGCAGAACCGGCAUGUGCUCUUAACCGCUGAGCAUCUCUCUAGCCUAGGAUCAUUUAAAAUUUUAUAUCCCCCUCAUACAUGCACAUAAUGUACCUUAAUCAUAUGCAAUCCUAAUAUCUCUUCUCACCUCCUCUCUAGAACUUUACCUUCAUGCCCCCUGCCCCCUUUAAAAUAACCGCCUGAGUCUAGUUAUCCACUAGGUCAGACAUAGCAAACCUACCAGAGCC
rnacentral:lncRNA from 1 species